AGUGAACGCUGGCGGUAGGCCUAACACAUGCAAGUCGAACGGCAGCACAGUAAGAGCUUGCUCUUACGGGUGGCGAGUGGCGGACGGGUGAGGAAUACAUCGGAAUCUACUUUUUCGUGGGGGAUAACGUAGGGAAACUUACGCUAAUACCGCAUACGACCUACGGGUGAAAGCAGGGGAUCUUCGGACCUUGCGCGAUUGAAUGAGCCGAUGUCGGAUUAGCUAGUUGGCGGGGUAAAGGCCCACCAAGGCGACGAUCCGUAGCUGGUCUGAGAGGAUGAUCAGCCACACUGGAACUGAGACACGGUCCAGACUCCUACGGGAGGCAGCAGUGGGGAAUAUUGGACAAUGGGCGAAAGCCUGACGCAGCCAUACCGCGUGGGUGAAGAAGGCCUUCGGGUUGUAAAGCCCUUUUGUUGGGAAAGAAAAGCAGCAGGUUAAUAACCCGCUGUUCUGACGGUACCCAAAGAAUAAGCACCGGCUAACUUCGUG
rnacentral:rRNA from 1 species